GGAGGUAGUGACAAUAAAUCACAAUGCGGAACUUUUAGUUUUGCAAUUGGAUUGAGAACAAUGUACAAAUGUUAUCGAUAAACAAUUGGAGGGCAAGUCUGGUGCCAGCAGCCGCGGUAAUUCCAGCUCCAAUAGCGUAUAUUGACGUUGUUGCAGUUAAAAAGCUCGUAGUUGAAAUGUGGGAUGAAGUAUAUAAUGAAUUUCUAAUUCAAUUCUAUAUUGAUUCCCCUCUCCAAUUUAUUAUUAUGGGUAUUAAUUUAUUUGUAAUAAGAAUUGGUCAUUUACUGUGAGAAAAUUAGAGUGUUCAAAGCAGGCAUUUGCUUGAAUAGAUUAGCAUGGAAUAAUACUAAAAGGCUUUUAUGGUCGAUUUAAUUGGUUUGUUCAUAAAAGCAAGAUUAAAAGGAACAGUUGGGGGUAUUCAUAUUCAAUAGUUAGAGGUGAAAUUCUCGGAUUUAUGGAAGAUGAACAAGUGCGAAAGCA
rnacentral:rRNA from 1 species